UGUGAGGAGGAAGUGACAUCAGAGGCAAUAUGCAAAUGCAGAAACACACCAAAUCCAGCACCAAAAACCCCCUAAAACAGCGAGCGACAAUGAAAUUGAAAGACCUAAAUGUAGUAAAAGUUCAGCUCUGGGGGCUCCCUGGGUUCCCAGCCAGUCCGGGGAAUGAUCCUCGGCUGACCGGUCCGCAGGGAGGGAAAUGUCAGCUGGAAUGAGGACCCAAGCUACAACUCAGACUUUGGAAUCCUGCUGCUCCCGUGAGGACAGAAUCCUCGGCUCUGCCUGUGUGCAAAGUGGACAGAGCUGCACUCCUCCUCCUCUGUGCCACUCCGGGAAGCAGUGGCGGCAUGUGUACAACCCGUUGGGCCCCCACCUGAGCUGGUCACUUUUUAAUAAAGACAUUUUAAAGGAGCAUGA